rnacentral:lncRNA from 1 species
AUCCUGCAAAUUUGUCAUCCUACCAACCCUUUCCUGUUUUAUUGAAAACAAAACAACCCAAAGGCAGCUUUUAGAGCCACGUCUUUCUUGUUAACCUGUCCUUGCUGUGUUUUACCUGUUAGCCGUUCUCUCCCUCUCUCUCACUCACUCUAACACUCUCUCUCUAUCACAGUCCCUGUCCUUACCUUUGUGUUUGUCUUAUUUGUCCAACUUUCUGUUGUCUGUCUAUCUGUCUGUUUGUCUUCAUCAUGAGCGAUUCAGAGCUCUAGGAUCUGCUCGAGAGUGCAGAUAACCUGGCUGCAAAUCUCAGCAAUGACCUGCAAGGGGUGGAUGACUUGCUUGGUGAGCUCCAGAAAGAGCAAGCUACUGCACCUCUGCCAACAAUAAGGUGGAAGAAGAGGGACAGCGAUGGCAACGUAAUCCGAAGGCCACACUCAAGCAGGCGUCAGUCUAACCAGGCUGGCUGCCGUCAGAAGACUCAUCCUCCUGUAGAUGCUCCUGACACUAACUCUGAGGUGGUCUUUGCUCCAGAGGCUAUUGAGUUACAAGAACUCCAGCAUUCAUUGUGUGAUGCCACAGGAGAUGAGAUGGAAGCACCAUCUCCAAGAGCUCCUCUGGCUUCAUCAAACUGGAGCACCAGCAAAAAUAUAUUUUCAGAAAGCUGGAGGGCAGCAAGACCACAGUGGCACUAGAAAAUGUAGAAGGCCACAUCUGCCAACAGUGUUCGAGCAAUUCCGCUGUUGUUCGUUGCUGUGAUUGCCGUCCACGCCGCUUCUUCUGUGCCAAAUGUGAUGUCAGCAUGCACACCAGACACCCCCUCCACAACAGAGAUGGCAGUACUUCGGGAUUCUUCCAGCCAUUACCCCCAACAACUUAUGUCCUGAAUAAGGCCCUUUCCCCCUGUGUGCGUUAUGUACCUGUGGAGAUCCCUGAAAAAAUAUGUGGUUGUCCAACAGACUCAUUGAGGAUCAAACCAGGAAAGGCUGUGGCUGUGAUCACAGUGAAUGGACGACAUGAGCUCAGCAUGCCAGAGUUGGCUUGCAGUGCAUGCAAAGCCACGUGGACUGCUGAAGUUGAGGAUGUUCUAAAGAGUUACUACUGGCCAGCUACCCUUCACUUUGCCACAAUCUAUGCCACAGAUGUUUUCUUCUCAUUUGAAGAAAUUAAAAUGUCUGCACCUGGACUGUCCUGUCAGGCAUUUUUAAAAAUGCUCGAUCAGCGAGCUGUCCGCUUUGGCCGUACUGGGAAAAUCUCAGGCGAUAGCUUCAUCAAAAGCUUCUUCGAGUGGGAGGCUGUGAGAUAUGAGGUGGACAGCCUCCGCAAGGCCUGUUGA